UACGUAGGGUGCUAGCGUUGCUCGGAAUCACUGGGCGUAAAGGGUGCGUAGGCGGGUCUUUAAGUCAGGGGUGAAAUGCCAAGGCUCAACCUUGGAACUGCCUUUGAUACUGGGGAUCUUGAGUCCGGGAGAGGUGAGUGGAACUGCGAGUGUAGAGGUGAAAUUCGUAGAUAUUCGCAAGAACACCAGUGGCGAAGGCGGCUCACUGGCCCGGUACUGACGCUGAGAUGCGAAAGCGUGGGGAGUAAACAGG
rnacentral:rRNA from 1 species